rnacentral:rRNA from 1 species
GGGUAGUUUGACUGGGGCGGUCUCCUCCUAAAGAGUAACGGAGGAGCACGAAGGUUGGCUAAUCCUGGUCGGACAUCAGGAGGUUAGUGCAAUGGCAUAAGCCAGCUUGACUGCGAGCGUGACGGCGCGAGCAGGUGCGAAAGCAGGUCAUAGUGAUCCGGUGGUUCUGAAUGGAAGGGCCAUCGCUCAACGGAUAAAAGGUACUCCGGGGAUAACAGGCUGAUACCGCCCAAGAGUUCAUAUCGACGGCGGUGUUUGGCACCUCGAUGUCGGCUCAUCACAUCCUGGGGCUGAAGUAGGUCCCAAGGGUAUGGCUGUUCGCCAUUUAAAGUGGUACGCGAGCUGGGUUUAGAACGUCGUGAGACAGUUCGGUCCCUAUCUGCCGUGGGCGCUGGAGAACUGAGGGGGGCUGCUCCUAGUACGAGAGGACCGGAGUGGACGCAUCACUGGUGUUCGGGUUGUCAUGCCAAUGGCACUGCCCGGUAGCUAAAUGCGGAAGAGAUAAGUGCUGAAAGCAUCUAAGCACGAAACUUGCCCCGAGAUGAGUUCUCCCUGACUCCUUGAGAGUCCUGAAGGAACGUUGAAGACGACGACGUUGAUAGGCCGGGUGUGUAAGCGCAGCGAUGCGU